AGAGUUUGAUCCUGGCUCAGAAUGAACGCUGGCGGCGUGUCUAAAGCAUGCAAGUCGAACGUGAAAGUCCCCUUCGGGGGGCCAGUAAAGUGGCGGACUGGUGAGUAACGCGUAGAUAAUCUGCCUUCUUGUUCGGGAUAACAUCGCGAAAGCGGUACUAAUACCGGAUGUGAUCAAUGGAUGAUUUCUGUUGCUUAAAGGUGGCGUAAGCUGCCGCAAGAAGAUGAGUCUGCGUCCUAUUAGCUUGUUGGUGAGGUAACGGCUCACCAAGGCUACGAUGGGUAGCCGGACUGAGAGGUUGACCGGCCACAUUGGGACUGAGAUACGGCCCAGACUCCUACGGGAGGCAGCAGCUAAGAAUAUUCCGCAAUGGGCGAAAGCCUGACGGAGCGACGCCGCGUGGAUGAUGAAGGCCUUCGGGUUGUAAAGUCCUUUCAAGAGGGAAGAUGUUCGGUUUCCUUAAUAGGGAGGCCGUUUGACUGUACCUCUAGAAGAAGCCCCGGCUAAUUACGUGCCAGCAGCCGCGGUAAUACGUAUGGGGCAAGCGUUAUUCGGAUUCAUUGGGCGUAAAGCGUAUGUAGGCGGUUUGUUAAGUUGGAUGUGAAAUCACCAGGCUCAACCUGGUAACUACUUCCAAAACUGGCAGGCUAGAGUUCGGAAGAGGAGAAUGGAAUUCCAGGUGUAGGGGUGAAAUCUGUAGAUAUCUGGAAGAACACCGGUGGCGAAGGCGAUUCUCUGGUCCGAAACUGACGCUGAGAUACGAAAGCGUGGGGAGCGAACAGGAUUAGAUACCCUGGUAGUCCACGCCGUAAACGUUGAUCACUAGGUGAUGGAAGCAUUGACCCUUUCAUUGCCGAAGCUAACGCAUUAAGUGAUCCGCCUGGGGAGUACGCUCGCAAGGGUGAAACUCAAAGGAAUUGACGGGGGCCCGCACAAGCGGUGGAGCAUGUGGCUCGAUUCGAUACGCGAGGAACCUUACCAAGGCUUGACAUGUAAGAAGUAGAAACCUGAAAGGGGGACGACCGGUAUCCAGUCCGGAACUUACACAGGUGCUGCAUGGUUGUCGUCAGCUCGUGUCGUGAGAUGUUGGGUUAAGCCCCAUAACGAGCGCAACCCCUAUCUUUAGUUGCCAGCAAGGCGUAAGCUGUUGGGCACUCUAAAGAGACUGCCGGUGACAAGCCGGAGGAAGGCGGGGAUGACGUCAAAUCCUCAUGGCCUUUAUGCCUUGGGCUGCACACGUGCUACAAUGGUCGGUACAGAGGGUUGCAAAACCGCGAGGUUGAGCUAAUCCCAAAAAACCGACCCCAGUUCGGAUCGUAGUCUGCAAUUCGACUGCGUGAAGUCGGAAUCGCUAGUAAUCGCGCAUCAGAACGGCGCGGUGAAUACGUUCCCGGGCCUUGUACACACCGCCCGUCAUAUCACCCGAGUCGGAUGCACUUGAAUCCAAUGCGCUAACCCUUCGGGGGGGCAGUUGGUGAAAAUGUGUUUGGUAAGGGGGAUAAAGUCGGAACAAGGUA
rnacentral:rRNA from 1 species